rnacentral:rRNA from 1 species
GAUGAACGCUGGCGGCGUGCCUAAUACAUGCAAGUCGAGCGAACAGAUGAGGAGCUUGCUCCUCUGACGUUAGCGGCGGACGGGUGAGUAACACGUGGAUAACCUACCUAUAAGACUGGGAUAACUUCGGGAAACCGGAGCUAAUACCGGAUAAUAUAUUGAACCGCAUUGUUCAAUAGUGAAAGACGGUUUUGCUGUCACUUAUAGAUUGAUACGCGCCGCAUUGGCUAGUGGGUUAGGUAACGGCUUACCCAGGCAACGAUGCGUAGACGACCUGAGAGGGUGAACGGCCAGCCGGGAAGUGAGAAACGGUCCAGACUCCUACGGGAGGCAGCAGUAGGGAAUCUUCCGCAAAGGAGGAGAGCCUGACAGAGCAACGCCGCGGGAGUGAUGAAGGUCUUCGGAUCGUAAAGCUCUGUUAGUAGGGAAGAACAAAUGUGUAAGUAACUAUGCACGUCUUGACGGUACCUAAUCAGAAAGCCACGGCUAACUACGUG